rnacentral:lncRNA from 1 species
AACUGGGACAGGGAGGGUCCUGAAAAAGGCCCCAAGUCCCCUGUGACCCCUUUUGGUGGGGCUGAAAUGGCUCCUGCUGCCCAGAUUGCAGCCUGCUGCUGUUAGGCACGCGCCAAGGUCAAGGCUGUGCCUCUGCCUCAGAUGAAGCAAUAAUGGCUUGUAAUGGGUUGUAAACAGGUGAAGUUUGCCUGGAAGAUGCUCUUGCCACCAGGACAGGAGAAGAUCCUUUCUCUUUAACCCUCUCCUGGCUUCCAGUUGUGUCAGAGCUCUAGAUCUUGUACCUGGCCUCACCCACCUAGACCAAAAGAGGGAACCGAGGCUCGGCAAGCUUGCGAACUGGCCCGGGGCUUCAGCAAGCAUGUCACCGGUGGAUGGGGGCUUCCUGAGGCAGAGGCUGUGCUGGCGUUGGAGCUGCUCGCACCAGUGCAAACAAGGCAACAGGAAGGCAGUUGGGAGCCAUGGAGGAUUCCAACCAUUGGCAGGCCUCAGGCACCAAGAGCAGCUGGAGAAGAGCUGAGUUCCCCUGGCAGCGGGGCAGAGACUCUGACUAGCAAAGAAGGGGUGAUCUCAUCCCCUCUCCUUCCUCUCCUUCCUCCCCUGUCCUGGGGCUGGCAGCUCCCCGUGAAGCCACUACGCACAUCCUUCAGCAUGACAUUGGAACAUCACCGGGGGAGUGGAGGGUAACGGAGCACCAUCCCAGGCGGUAAUGGCUCCAACGCCUAGAGGAAAAUGACAUAAAUAAUGUCCCAUUAGAGGCGCCGAGCUGCUCUGCCGAGUGCCUUGUUUUGCCCGCGACAUGAUGGUCUUCAUAAACAGACUCAUUUGUUUUCCAGCCCUUGUUUGGGCGAGGUGGGGGUGGGGUGCCGAGGAAGGUGACCCGGCAUCGAGGGCAGCAAUGGGGACCUAAUUGCUGCCCAGACUGCGGCCUGGUGCCGGCGCCCACCAUCCAU